rnacentral:rRNA from 1 species
UUCUUGAGUGUGUACUUGUUAAGCCUUUUAAGAAAAAAGUUAUUAACUUAAGGAAUUAUAACAAAGAAGCAACACGUAAAUGGAUUUUCCAUUUUUUAGUGUGUAUCAAUCGAGUUUCUGACCUAUCAGCUUUUGAUGUUAGGGUAUUGGCCUAACAUGGCUAUGACGGGUAACGGGGAAUUAGAGUUCGAUUCCGGAGAGGGAGCCUGAGAAAUAGCUACCACAUCUAAGGAAGGCAGCAGGCGCGUAAAUUACCCAAUUCUAAAGAAGAGAGGUAGUGACAAGAAAUAACAAUACAAGGCCAAUCUGGCUUUGUAAUUGGAAUGAUGGGAAUUUAAAACCUUCCCAAAACUCAAUUGGAGGGCAAGUCUGGUGCCAGCAGCCGCGGUAAUUCCAGCUCCAAUAGCGUAUAUUAAAAUUGUUGCAGUUAAAACGCUCGUAGUUGAAUUUCAAAGAAUCGAUAUUUUAAGUAACGCUUUGUAGAUUAAUCCACGUAACUGAUACUACGUAUCGACUUUGUGCGCAUUUUUCUACUUAUGUGUUCUUUUAAUUAAAAUGAUUCUUUUUAAGAUCUUUCUUUUUUGCUUCGGCAUUUUAGGAGAUCUUGUUACUUUGAGUAAAUUAGAGUGUUCAAAGCAAACAGAUUAUAGCAUCUUUAUGCGUUUGAAUACUACAGCAUGGAAUAACAAAAUUGAACAAGUCAGAAUUUUGUUCUUUUUUCUUAUUUUGGCUUAGUUACGAUUAAUAGGAGUAGCUUGGGGGCAUUUGUAUUCAGAUGUCAGAGGUGAAAUUCUUAGAUUUUCUGGAGACAAACAACUGCGAAAGCAUUUGCCUAAAAUACUUCCAUUAAUCAAGAACGAAAGUUAAGGGAGUGAAGACGAUCAGAUACCGUCGUAAUCUUAACCAUAAACUAUGCCGACUAGGC